GCCUGGGUGGCUCAGUGGCUGAGCAUCUGACUUUGGCUCAGGGCGUGAUCCUGGAGUCCUGGGAUCGAGUCCCACAUUGGGCU
rnacentral:tRNA from 1 species